UAGGGAAUCUUCCACAAUGGACGAAAGUCUGAUGGAGCAACGCCGCGUGAGUGAUGAAGGUUUUCGGAUCGUAAAACUCUGUUGUAAGGGAAGAACCAGUACGUCAGGCAAUGGACGUACCUUGACGGUACCUUAUUAGAAAGCCACGGCUAACUACGUGCCAGCAGCCGCGGUAAUACGUAGGUGGCAAGCGUUGUCCGGAAUUAUUGGGCGUAAAGCGCGCGCAGGUGGUUUCUUAAGUNUGAUGUGAAAGCCCNCGGCUUAACCGUGGAGGGUCAUUGGAAACUGGGAGACUUGAGUGCAGAAGAGGAAAGUGGAAUUCCAAGUGUAGCGGUGAAAUGCGUAGAGAUUUGGAGGAACACCAGUGGCGAAGGCGACUUUCUGGUCUGCAACUGACGCUGAGGCGCGAAAGCAUGGGGAGCAAACAGGAUUAGAUACCCUGGUAGUCCAUGCCGUAAACGAUGAGUGCUAAGUGUUAGGGGGUUUCCGCCCCUUAGUGCUGCAGCUAACGCAUUAAGCACUCCGCCUGGGGAGUACGACCGCAAGGUUG
rnacentral:rRNA from 1 species